UACGGAGGGGGCUAGCGUUGUUCGGAAUUACUGGGCGUAAAGCGCGCGUAGGCGGAUCUGCAAGUCGGGGGUGAAAUCCCGAGGCUCAACCUCGGAACUGCCUUCGAUACUGCGGGUCUCGAGUCCGGGAGAGGUGAGUGGAAUUCCUAGUGUAGAGGUGAAAUUCGUAGAUAUUAGGAAGAACACCAGUGGCGGAAGGCGGCUCACUGGCCCGGUACUGACGCUGAGGCGCGAAAGCGUGGGGAGCAAACAGGG
rnacentral:rRNA from 1 species